rnacentral:rRNA from 1 species
UACGGAGGGUGCAAGCGUUAUCCGGAUUCACUGGGUUUAAAGGGAGCGUAGGUGGGCAGGUAAGUCAGUGGUGAAAUCUCUGGGCUUAACCCGGAAACUGCCAUUGAUACUAUUUGUCUUGAAUGUUCUGGAGGUAAGCGGAAUAUGUCAUGUAGCGGUGAAAUGCUUAGAUAUGACAUAGAACACCCAUUGCGAAGGCAGCUUACUACGGAAUGAUUGACACUGAGGCUCGAAAGCGUGGGGAUCAAAC